rnacentral:rRNA from 1 species
GGUGUCCGGCCACACUGGGACUGAGAUACGGCCCAGACUCCUACGGGAGGCAGCAGUGGGGAAUAUUGCACAAUGGGCGCAAGCCUGAUGCAGCGACGCCGCGUGGGGGAUGACGGCCUUCGGGUUGUAAACCUCUUUCACCAUCGGCGAAGCCGGGGGCUUUUGUUUCCGGUGACGGUAGGUGGAGAAGAAGCACCGGCCAACUACGUGCCAGCAGCCGCGGUAAUACGUAGGGUGCGAGCGUUGUCCGGAAUUACUGGGCGUAAAGAGCUCGUAGGUGGUUUGUCGCGUUGUCCGUGAAAUUCCCUGGCUUAACUGGGGGCGUGCGGGCGAUACGGGCAGACUGGAGUACUGCAGGGGAGACUGGAAUUCCUGGUGUAGCGGUGGAAUGCGCAGAUAUCAGGAGGAACACCGGUGGCGAAGGCGGGUCUCUGGGCAGUAACUGACGCUGAGGAGCGAAAGCGUGGGGAGCGAACAGGAUUAGAUACCCUGGUAGUCCACGCCGUAAACGGUGGGUACUAGGUGUGGGUUUCCUUCCUUGGGAUCCGUGCCGUAGCUAACGCAUUAAGUACCCCGCCUGGGGAGUACGGCCGCAAGGCUAAAACUCAAA